rnacentral:rRNA from 1 species
GACGCUGGCGGCGUGCCUAAUACAUGCAAGUCGAACGGUCUUUUCUAUGGAAGCUUGCUUCCACUGAGAAGAUAGUGGCGAACGGGUGAGUAACACGUGGGUAACCUGCCCAUAAGAGGGGGGAUAACAUCCGGAAACGGGUGGCUAAUACCGCAUAGUUUUCUUGGUCGCAUGAUCGGGAAAGGAAAGACGGCCUUUGUGCUGUCGCUUAUGGAUGGACCCGCGGCGUAUUAGUUAGUUGGUGAGGUAACGGCUCACCAAGACGAUGAUACGUAGCCGACCUGAGAGGGUGAUCGGCCACAUUGGGACUGAGACACGGCCCAAACUCCUACGGGAGGCAGCAGUAGGGAAUCUUCCGCAAUGGACGAAAGUCUGACGGAGCAACGCCGCGUGAGUGAAGAAAAGGUUUUCGGAUCGUAAAACUCUGUUGUCAGAGAAGAACAAGUUGGAGAGUAACUGCUCCAGCCUUGACGGUAUCUGACCAGAAAGCCACGGCUAACUACGUGCCAGCCGCUGC